rnacentral:misc_RNA from 1 species
CUCCUCCUCAUCAUCAUCAUCAUCGCCCUCCUCGCCGCCGACACCUUUACGGUCCAUAAUUUUUUUAAAAAAAUUAAGGGAAUUUUGGGGAGAGGGGGUUUUGUCUAUUUAAUUAAAGUGUCAGGGUUUUUGAUUGUUAUAGAGAGAAAAAGUUUACGUUUUGCACUAUUAUGGAACCGCGCGUUGGUAACAAGUUCCGUCUCGGUCGCAAGAUCGGUAGUGGAUCAUUUGGAGAGAUCUAUCUCGGUACUAAUAUUCAAACAAACGAGGAAGUUGCAAUUAAGCUUGAAACUAUCAAGACAAAGCAUCCUCAGUUACAGUCUGAGUCAAGGUUAUAUAAGAUUCUACAGGGAGGAACUGGAGUUCCAAAUGUUAGAUGGUUUGGUGUUGAAGGGGACUAUAAUGUCCUCGUGAUGGAUUUACUGGGACCUAGUCUUGAAGAUUUGUUCAACUUUUGUAGUAGGAAACUGUCUCUCAGGACUGUUCUGAUGCUUGCAGACCAGAUGAUUAAUCGUGUUGAAUUUGUUCAUUCCAAAUCAUUCCUCCAUCGAGAUAUCAAGCCAGACAACUUCCUAAUGGGUUUAGGAAGGCGUGCCACUCAGGUCUCAAUUUGAUAUUGAUUCCUAUUAUUUGCCUUUUCUUUCUUGUUCAAUUUUUGGACUGUUGCCUGAUGUCUACAUGAAUGCAGGUCUAUAUCAUUGACUUUGGUCUGGCUAAGAAGUACCGAGACACUUCAACGCAUCAGCAUAUUCCUUACAGGUUAAUAAUUUUGAACUCUAAGUAGGAUAGGUCAGUUAAUUUCUAUUGUUUGUGAGCUUUCAAUGUCAGAUCUCAUUGCUACACCUUUUGUUUCUAGCUUUGUGCAAUCUCUGAUUUGUUUGUGCAGACUGAAUAUUUUUAUUUAAAUUAUAUGAUGUGCUUACUUUGGAACUGAUUUGCUUAUUUAAAUUGCAGAGAAAAUAAGAAUUUGACGGGAACUGCAAGAUAUGCUAGCAUGAAUACUCAUCUUGGCAUUGGUAUGUUAAUGUUAUUUUGUUUUAGUUUUCCCAGUGUGUUCCUGGCGUAAUUUGUAAUUGGUUUAUAUAAAUUAUGUUUUGUUGAUUGUCUUUCAUAUGUAUUUCAUAGAACAAAGUCGCAGGGAUGAUUUAGAAUCACUUGGAUAUGUUCUGAUGUAUUUUUUAAGGGGAAGGUAAACGUCCUAGUUAUCCACUAUUAGCUCAUUUCAUACUUUUGUUGCAUGAUUUGCUUGAUUGUGGCCUAUUUAUGUUUGUAGUCUUCCGUGGCAAGGACUAAAAGCAGGGAACAAGAAGCAAAAGUAUGAAAAGAUAAGUGAAAAGAAAGUAUCAACUUCUAUUGAGGUAAAGUUGUGCCAUAAAUAGCAUCUUUGUUUCAUAGUAUUGUCCAUCUUUAUUGAACUGAUUUGAAGGCUCACUGCACCCUCUUUAGGCCUUAUGUCGUGGUAAUCCCACAGAAUUUGCAUCCUACUUCCAUUACUGUCGGUCAUUGCGUUUUGAUGAUAAACCAGAUUAUGCUUACCUGAGAAGGCUUUUCCGUGAUCUUUUUAUUCGUGAAGGUUUGAACUUUACUUACUGUUAUCCUUUUGUUAUUAGAUGUUAUGCAGGCAUAAAAUCUAAAGCAGUAAUAAAAUCAAAUACUAUGCCGCUAUAAUCAGUUAGAUUUCCUUCUUACUUCAGGUUUCCAGUUUGACUAUGUCUUCGAUUGGACAAUUUUGAAAUAUCAGCAAUCUCAGAUUGCCAAUCCUCCUACUCGUGUACUUGUAAUCAUUAAUAUAUUGUUGUUCUUCUCAAGUAUUCUAUAAUAAGCUAUGGAAUCCAAUAUUUCAUUUAUUUCUUCUACAGGGCCCUGUCGCUGGACCAAGCUCUGGCAUGCCUCGUACUGGUGCUAACGUUGACAAGCAAUCAGGUGGGGAAGAGGGUAGACCUGGUUGGCCUUCAACAGAUUCCUCUCGAAGGAGAAACUCUGGACCAAUUACAAGUUCUGUAAACAUAUUUAAGCAAAAAGGUCCUGUUGCAAAUGAUCUAUCCUCAUCCAAAGAUGCUGCAUUAUCCAGCUCAAAUUUUCUGCGGUCUGGUGGAUCAUCAAGGCGACCUGCCUUCUCUAGCAGUCGUGAAGUCGUUCUUGUUGGGAGUGACUCUUCUCGCACGAUAGAUGUGAGCUCUGCAGUCAAAAUUUCCAGUGUUCAAAGAGGCUUGCCUAUUGUAUCUUCAGAGCAGAAGCAUCCCUCUUCUGGUAGAAACUCCUUAAAUAUAAAGACAUUUGAAUCAACUCUUAGGGGCAUUGAGAGCCUGCACUUCAACAAUGAAGAAAGAGUACAAUAUUAGUGAAAUGCCAACCUCAGUUCUUUCCCACUGUAAAUUUACAAUCAGAUACUGUUAUGCACACGAAAGUGGAAUGUGGUGUUAUGCGUCUCUAUAUCAUCUAGUUGCAACGCAUAUGUCUUUUUUUGUACAUCAGCAGACAAUACAGUUGAGAUACCCUCUGAUGGAAUAUGUAUAGCAACACACUGCGAGCAUCUUAACGGUUCCAAAUUUGUAAUGGAACAUUAGAGCUUACAUUCUGCUACUGUACAUGCAUUUCUGAAUUUAAUGGACCAAACAGCAUUGCAAAUAAGCAGCAUCACUGUUUAGCAUUGCUGAUGGACUGUAAGGUUUUCAAAUUAGCCAGUAUGCCCAUUACUAUUAGAUUUCGAGUAUACCCUCUUUAAUUGUUUCAAUAUUCAAAAUUUUCCGCAACCUCAAAUGUGAGCCUGAAUAAUUAAUUUCUAUUGCAAAGGAAUAUUGAUUUUGG